rnacentral:rRNA from 1 species
UGAGCAAUCUGCCCUUCUCAUCGGAAUAAGCGUUGGAAACGACGUCUAAUGCCGAAUACGACCUCCUUUCGCAUGAUCGGAGGUGGAAAGCUCCGGCGGAGAAGGAUGAGCUCGCGGCCUAUCAGCUAGUUGGUGUGGGUAAUGGCCCACCAAGGCGACGACGGGUAGCUGGUCUGAGAGGAUGGCCAGCCACAUUGGGACUGAGACACGGCCCAGACUCCGUACGGG